AAUCAAGGAAGGUCGAGUUCGCUACAUCCUGUAGCAAACUCGACCUUCCUCACGUCGUGUGAG
rnacentral:sRNA from 1 species